rnacentral:rRNA from 1 species
GACGAACGCUGGCGGCGUGCUUAACACAUGCAAGUCGAACGAUGAAGCUGGAGCUUGCUCUGGUGGAUUAGUGGCGAACGGGUGAGUAAAACGUGAGUAACCUGCCCUGGACUCUGGGAUAACCCCGAGAAAUCGGAGCUAAUACCGGAUAGGACCUCGGAUCGCAUGAUCUGGGGUGGAAAGUUUUUCGGUCUGGGAUGGGCUCGCGGCCUAUCAGCUUGUUGGUGAGGUAAUGGCUCACCAAGGCGUCGACGGGUAGCCGGCCUGAGAGGGUGACCGGCCACACUGGGACUGAGACACGGCCCAGACUCCUACGGGAGGCAGCAGUGGGGAAUAUUGCACAAUGGGCGCAAGCCUGAUGCAGCAACGCCGCGUGCGGGAUGACGGCCUUCGGGUUGUAAACCGCUUUUAGUAAGGAAGAAGCCGCAAGGUGACGGUACUUGCAGAAAAAGGACCGGCUAACUACGUGCCAGCCGCCGCAGUAAAAC